AUUAGAGAUAGUGCCCCCCUUGUGGUCGGUAUACAGGUGGUGCAUGGCUGUCGUCAGCUCGUGUCGUGAGAUGUUGGGUUAAGUCCCGCAACGAGCGCAACCCUUGUCCUGUGUUGCCAGCAUGCCCUUCGGGGUGAUGGGGACUCACAGGAGACCGCCGGGGUCAACUCGGAGGAAGGUGGGGACGACGUCAAGUCAUCAUGCCCCUUAUGUCUUGGGCUGCACACGUGCUACAAUGGCCGGUACAAAGAGCUGCGAUACCGUGAGGUGGAGCGAAUCUCAAAAAGCCGGUCUCAGUUCGGAUUGGGGUCUGCAACUCGACCCCAUGAAGUCGGAGUCGCUAGUAAUCGCAGAUCAGCGUUGCUGCGGUGAAUACGUUCCCGGGCCUUGUACACACCGCCCGUCACGUCACGAAAGUCGGUAACACCCGAAGCCGGACGGCGAACCCG
rnacentral:rRNA from 1 species